rnacentral:rRNA from 1 species
UACGUAGGGGGCAAGCGUUGUCCGGAAUUAUUGGGCGUAAAGCGCGUGUAGGCGGCUCGGUAAGUCUGCUGUGAAAGUCCAGGGCUCAACCCUGGAAUGCCGGUGGAUACUGUCGAGCUCGAGUCCGGAAGAGGCGAGUGGAAUUCCUGGUGUAGCGGUGGAAUGCGCAGGAUAUCAGGAGGAACACCGGUGGCGAAGGCGGCGUCCUGGACCAACACUGACACUGAUGAGCGAAAGCCAGGGGAGCAAACGGG